GAAGGUGCUUCCAAAAGAUAUUCACUCCCACUCCAAACUCUUCAGAAAUUACAUUAUGGAACCAUAAAGCUGGAGAAAGUUUAAAAAACAAGUUAAAAAUAAAACCUACAGUUAAAAAAAAACCCAAAAUGUCAGUGAAAUAUCACGAAUUGCAUAUAGCCAAUGUAAGAAAUAAUUCUUGUAACCAGAUCCCUUCGUUAGCACACUCCAGGCUUUUAACAGAAUCAUUUUAACUUUUAUGAAUUGCCAACAAAUUUAAAGUGUCAAUAGCACAACCCUUACUUUUAAAACCUUUAGAAAUAGCAAUUUUUCCUUUAAACUUGAAAGACAUAAUAAAGAUAUAUUUGUUUUGCAGUUCUCUAAUCUAGGGCUGUGUUUUGUGUUACUUGUUUAUACUUCCUGAGUCAUACAACCACAUCAAAGUGUUUAUUUUUUGGUACACAGAACAUUUCAAUUACUUGAGGAGUAUCUUUGACCUUUUCUGAUUCAUUAUAAUACUUUUGUCCCUAAAGACUUCCUGUUCAAGCUGCGAUUUGGUUUUCUAACUUGCUUAAAUUCGUAUUCAUUAUAGCCUCCUCGUUUUAUAUUUUGAAUGCAAUUAUAAUCAUCUUAUAUUUCUUUCAGCUCCUUUAUAAAUAGUAUACAAAACUACAGCAAAUAUUUUGGUGGUGGAAAUGAUGAGUAAACUUUAUUAUAUACCUAAUUAAUUUUUUUCCUUUUAUUGGGAAAUUUACUUUAUUUUCAAUUGAAUCUAAACAUUUUCAGAAUAUAGGUGCUAGAGGAAUACUAAAGCAAUACCACAAUAUAACAAAGAUGGAACACUAAUCACAGGAAAAACCCUUUUAAUCCUGUGAAAGGGAGAUUUAAAUUUUAGAAACUUAUUCUAAGAGUGUUUAAGGAAAAACAAAAGCUUAACAUUUUGAUUUGGAAAACUAAUUUUCAAACAUGGUUUUAAUCUUAACUACACUUUCUUUCAGAAUCUUUUUUUUCCCUUAUUCAAUAUAAUAGGAAGAAAAUGCUAACCAUUCAGCUGAAUUUAAACCCAAAGACAGGAAUUUUGCUUUUGUUUAAAAAUAUAUGCAAAUGUUCAGUAUUUUUUUUUUUCUUAAAACAAUUGUAUGAAGAAUAAGGGAAAACUACAUAGAUCUUAAUCAUGCUCCCAAGAUACAAAAACCAAAAGUGUAAAUUUAAAAGAUGGCAAUAGAUUUGAAGACUAAUACGUUCGUUGCUUUCAAUGAAAAUAAGAAUAAAAAGUCAACUUUUUAUAAAUUAUCAAUUAUAUGAAAGCCAUUAUAUCAUAUCUGGCCCUUUUGGGGAAGACAAAGAUGAACAAAACAUAGUUGUCUUCAAGGAAUUUAUAAUCUAGUCCCAAAAGAAGUCAUCAAAUAUGGAUCUUUAUUAAUAUUUACUUAUUUUUAUCAGUGAAAAGUAUUAAUGAUUCUUAAUAGAUUAAUUUAAAUAUGGAACUACAACUAUAAAUAGAAUUUGUUAAUAUAUCCCUUUAAUUUUAAUUAUGAUUUUUAUAAUCUUCAAGAGUUCACUUUUAAGUAUUAAUUACAGAUGUUAAUUACCUUGCUGUGUUGAACUUUAUGGACUUUCAAACUAAUGCCUAUUAAUUGAACAAAGAAAUUAAGUGACACAAAUCCAGACUGUAUAGAAAAAUAAUGUACACAAAUGAUACUACAGGUGUUGAGAUUAUAACAUUUUAAUAUGAAAUCUUUCAUCUGUUUUGGCCUUGAAAGAUACUUAUCAUUUUUUUUUGGUAAAUAUUUAAGUGACACAGUUCUAAAAUACAGAAAUAUUUUUAAAAUAAAAUAAUUUACAAAACCAAUCAGUAUAAUCUUUUCCCAAAUAUAAAGUGUCUUACUUGAUGUCAUUUAAUAGAGUAUAUUAUUUUUAAAAAAUAAUUUAGAAAACGAACAAGUAUAAUCUUUUCCCAGAUAUAAAGUGUCCCACUUUGAAAAUAAUAAUAAAUAAAUAAAUAAAAGCUAUAAAAAAUGUGUCUUACUUGAUGUCACUUAGUAAAAUAGAGUAUAAUAUUAUUUUUAUAGGUUGCCCUUGAAAGCAAGACUGUUAAUUUAGUUUAUUCAGAGACAGGGUCUUACUCUGUUGCUCACAGUGGAGUACAGUGAUUCCAUGAUGCCAUGGCAUCAACCUCCUCAACCUCAACCUCAACCUCGUGGGCCCAAGAGAUCCUUCUGCCUCAGCCUCCCGAGCAGCUGGGACGUACAGAUGCACACCACCAUGCCUGACUAAAUUUAUUUAUUUAUUUUUGUCGAGACGGGGUCUCGCUAUGUUGCCCAUGCUGGUCUUGCACUUUUGGCCAAAACUACAAGGGCUGUUAACUUAUAAUAAGUUUGCCUAGGCCUGCUUUAAACACACACACACACACACACACACACACACACACACACACACACACAUACACACACACGCACACACAGAGUUUUGUCUAAAAAUCAUCUUGUAUAGGACCGGAUACAUAUAACAAAUAUAUAUUUGUACUAAAAAAAAAAAAUCACAUGAAGGAUGAGUGACAGAGUACACAUUUUAUAAAUAGCACAUUAGUGAGGUCUAGAAAUCUUACCAGGAAUGAAUAAUACAUCACCAGCUUCAAGGGAACAUUCAUAUCUUCUAGCCUUGGAAAAAAGUGGAUAUUUAGCCAAGUCUGGGUUAUCUAUAUUCAGUACUUCUGAUUUAGUACCUAAAAAGUUCCAAAAAGGGAUAAUAUAGAUUCAGCAAAGUUAGCAUUUUAAAAAAAGUAAUCACAAAUAUAAAUUUGAAAAUUUAUUCUUUUCUAUCCAGUUACUUACUGUACCAACACUGUGAGAAUUACUAUGCUACUGACACCUAAGACAAUUUUCAAUGACUCACUCUUUAAUUCUGAUGACUGAUACCCAUGUAAUAAGAUAAUUUCAAAUUUGAACCUGUUAUUACAUAUAUACACAAAUACAAUUAGGAUUAAGUACUGAAGUGUUCUUUUCCUAUAAGAAUCAAGAGAUUUCUCAAAAAGAGUAACUGAAUAGACUUUUGAAAUAUAAACUUAAAAAAAAUCCCAUACCUUUUAAAUAUAAAUACUGGGCAUCUCGAGGACUGAAGAGUACAACACGCUUUUUUCCUGUCACUUGUAUUAACAAAUUAUCCAUUACCUGAAGACCAAUAAAAGCUUAUGGGUAAUCAUUAUCUAAAAUUCAAAUAAAUAGAACCAAUGGCAUGCUAAACUUUAACUGCAAACCCGAUCCUUUAAUGAGACUUGACUUACUUAAGACUCUUACAGUUACCUAACAAUAAAAACAUUUGUAUUCCAUAUACAACUGGGCCUUCAAGACAUUUCUGCAGUACUGCCCUAAAAUGGGAAGACUUGGCAAAUUAGAAAAUGUGGAGUCAGAAAACGAUUUGCCUUUGCCUCACCAUUAACUGACAGCAUAGUUAAGCCUAUUUAAGGCUCCCCUUGGUUAAUAUUUACUAUCUGUUAAGGAAUGCUAUAAGCCCAAAAUUAGACAACAGAGUAAAAGCACUUAGAAAAAUCAGAUGCUAGGAAAAUACAAGGUACUGUUGCAACUGCUGCUACACUCUUAAUAUAUGUUCAACCAUAAUUUCAUUAUAGGUAUCUUGAUUUUCAAAUUAUUUCUAUAGGAAUAUAAUCUCACAGAUUUUCUUUUUUUUUCCUUUUCUGCAAACAGUAUGGUGAUUUAUGACAGAUUUUCUUAAUAUAUAUUUAUUAUUGGAGCAAUCGUUUCCCAUGAAUGUAAUGGUAUACUUUCUUGGUAUAGAUUGUGAAAAAAUGUUAAAGGCAGAGUCACAUAAUUCUCAGCUAAGGAUUUAAGAUAAGCACUAAGCAAGAUAUAUUCAUGAUUUUUUACUUCUACCUAAGCAUUCUUCCUUUUAGUACUAACCCUUUACUCAUGUAAACCAUAACUAUACAAUUCAAACUAGCGUUCCUCUGACUUAAUUUAUAAUAAAAGCUUUAUAUAUUACAUUCUAUUAUAAUUCAAGGUAAAGGGGAUACUACUCAAAAUUUAAAACAUAAUCAUAGAGGCCAGGCAUGGUGGCUCAUGCCUGUAAUCCUAGUACUUUGGGAGGUCGAGGUGGGCGGAUUACUUGAAGCCAGGAGUUUGAGACCAGCCUGGCCAACGUCGCAAAACCCCAUGUAUACUAAAAAUAAAAAAAAAAAAAUUAGCCGGGUGUGGUUGUGCAUGCCUGUAAUCCUAGCUAUCUGGGUAGCUGAGAUACGAGAAUCACUUGAAUCUGGGAGGGACUGGUUGCAGUGAGCCAGGAUCGUGCCACUGCACUCCAGCCUGGGUGAAAGAGCAAGACUCUGUCUCAAAAAACAACAACAACAAUCAUCAUCAUCAUCAUCAUAGAAUAUAGUUAAAAUGUAUUACCACAUGAUUUUCUCACCAUGUUAUUCAUAUAAAACUGUAAAAUAUGCUAAGAGUUCAUGUCUAUUUCAUAAUUACAGAUUUACUGACUAUGGUAAAAUCCUCCCAAGAGGGUCUCAACUGAAUUACAAAACACAUGUAUAAAAUGUUAUACUGUGAUUUAGAACUUAAAAAUUUUUUUUUCUUUGGAAACUUGUUAGAUAUUCCUUUACCUUCCUUAAGUUUCUCUACUUCCCAACACCAAACCAUAUACCAUACUAGUAUUUUUAAUGUUUUUAAAACGCUUAUAGAUGUGUACAUAAAUUUAAGCAAACAAAAUAACAUCAUAAAUAAUCAAGAUCAAUUUUUUUUUUUUUUGAGACAGAGUCUCGUUCUGUCGCCCAGGCUGGAGUGCAACGGUGCGAUCUCGGCUCACUGCAAGCUCUGCCUCCUGGAUUCACGCCAUUCUCCUGCCUAAGCCUCUGGAGUAGCUGGGACUACAGGCACCCGCCACCAUGCCCAGCUAAUUUUUUGUAUUUUUAGUAGGUACGGGGUUUCACCGUGUUAGCCAGGAUGGUCUCGAUCUCCUGACCUCAUGAUCCGCCCGCCUCGGCCUCCCAAAGUGCUGGGAUUACAGGUGUGAGCCACCGCGCCCAGCAGAUCAAGAUCAAUAUUGUACACAUUUUUGCUGCCCUACAAAUACAGCAGAUAUUUGACAUUCUCAAGGCAUAUAUAUCCUAAGAUCUUCAGAUAUCCCCAAAUUCUUACAAUUGGUAAUGACUCAACAAGCUUCAGCCUUUUUCCUGAAUAACAUAACUUUGCAUGACCCAGAGAGUUAUGGAUCUCUGGGUAGCCAGAGUCAUGUGUAUCAUUUAUACCUCCUUAUACUAAAGGCUUAUCACUUUUUCCAAUACAAUUUCCCCCAUUAUCUGGUGGCCAUUUUUCACAUGGAAAAAAAAAUCACUUCACAAAACUUGGUAUAUAUAUGAUGAUGAAUCAAGAAUAGGACCACAGGGAAAUACAAAUGUGAGGAACCAACUAGGCUUUGCCAUUAGCAAAAUAAUUCAUUCCUGUAUCACUGCUAUGCACAGCACCUAUUUUCAAAAGUCAUGUUUCAGCAAAUUACACAGAUGUUUAGGGUAACCUAUAGGAAGUUGAAACUGUGACUGUUAAAUCUAUAAUGCUAAAGAUCUAUUGUAGCUUUAAAUUUCUCAUUUAUGUAGCAUACAUCAUAAUGAGUCCAUAGUUGUAAUCCUGGUGAACUAAUUCGAAAAACACUGGAAAAGAACUGUUCCUCUUUGAAGAAUUCUGGAAACUUAAUAUCUCCUUUCAACAAAGGAAACUGCUUUCUGAUAUCUGCAACAUCCUGCAUUUACAGAAACAUAAAAAGAAAAAAUUAGAUUAGACCCUAUGAUAUUAAGGAAGACUGGGGCAAAACUUUGUUCACUGCUUUAAAAUACUAUGAUGUGACCAUGUGCCAAUACAUGAUCUCUCUCUCUCUAUCUUUCUCUCUCUCUCUCCCCCAAGUAGCUGAGAUUAUAGGCACCUCCCACCACGCCCAGCUAAUUUUUGUAUUUUUAGUGGAGACGGGAUUCCCCAUGUUGGCCAGGCUGGUCUUGAACUCCUGACCUCAGGUGAUCCACCCACCUCAGCCUCCCAAAGUGCUGGGAUUACAGGCAUGGGGCCACCUUGCCUGGCCGAUACAUGAUCUUUCAAAUGAAGAAAUACCAGGCUGUGUAACAAGACUGCAGAUUUUAUAGUAUCACUACUGUUAAGCUCAAUAUGCUUCAUUAAUAGAAAGGUUCUUUCUACUUUAAGCAAAUUACACAAAUGUCAUCCACUCUAAUAUUCAGGAGUCAACACCUUGAACUAACAUUACUAGCUAUCACCUACAUAAAACCUGUGAAUUCUACUGAGGGAGGGGACUAAAAGAGAGGGUAAACAACUAAAUGGUGACAUAAAUGGAAAAAAUAAUCUUAUUUGAUCAUUUUAGGGACUACUCUUUAAUAUCACAGCCAUACUAAUUUGACUCUGAAUACAUGUCAAAACUUAUACAAUGAACUAUUCAGGAUUCUAAUAAUUAUUUCAAAUUAAUAUUUUGUUAACUGAGUUGCCACCUAUAAAAUAUACAGUAGAAGAGAUUUCUUAUUGUAUAGGGAUUAGAUGACUAUAAACACUAAGAUUCUACAGGCCUACCUGAAUACAAAGUAAUCACUUUUUAAUCAUCUUACUUCUUAUUCAGGGGCACAAAUCACUGAGAGAAGAAUGGAAAAGGAUAGAACAGGGAAUAUGUCAGGCAGUAAGUAUAAAAUUACAGUGUUGCCAGUUAACAUACAUACAUCCAUUUAGAUUUUAGGGAAUUGUUUUACAUUUAGAAUUCUUACCUUUCUAGGGUCUUCUCCAAGUGACCGUAAGUAGUAUUUCUCAUCCUUAAACACCCCAGAGAAAAAUAACAUCAGCAAUAUUUUACUUUUUCAAAUGUAAAAAUACUAGGAUUUGUAUAGCUAUCAUGUAUUCAUAAUAAUUAAAAGUAAAAAAAAGAAUUAUGUACUGAGAACUACGGAAAAAAAUAAAACACCUUCACUUCAAAAAUAUUAGGAAGUAAAGUUAGGAAACAAGUCUUAAAAUCUGACCCAGUUAAGUAGUUUUCUAAAAAGUUCAAUUAUCGCUGGGCGUGGUGGGUCACAACUGUAAUCCUAGUACUCUGGGAGGCCAGGGCAGGAAGACUGCUUAAGUCCAAGAGCUCAAGACCAGCCUGGGCAACAGAGUGAGACACCAUCUACAAAAAAUUAGCUGGGCAUGGUGGUACGUGCCUGUAGUCCCAGCUACUUGGGAGGCUGAGGCUGCAGUGAGCUAUGAUUGUGACACUACACUCCAGCUUGGGUGACAGAGCAAGACCUUUUCAAAAAAG
rnacentral:lncRNA from 10 species